rnacentral:rRNA from 1 species
AUACGGAGGGUGCAAGCGUUAUUCGGAAUCACUGGGCGUAAAGGACGCGUAGGCGGGUUGGCAAGUCAGAUGUGAAAUCCUACAGCUUAACUGUAGAACUGCAUUUGAAACUGCUAACCUAGAGUAUGGGAGGGGGAGAUGGAAUUAGUGGUGUAGGGGUAAAAUCCGUAGAUAUCACUAGGAAUACCGAAAGCGAAGGCGAUCUCCUGGAACAUAACUGACGCUGAGGCACGAAAGCGUGGGGAGCAAACAGGAUUAGAAACCCUAGUAGUCC